UAAGGAUAACUACGGAAAAGCUGUAGCUAAUACUUGCUAAAUAUGUUAUACUUAUCUUCGGAUUUGCAUAUCAUAGUAUUUGUUAACUUUUUACAAAAAAAAUUAUAUUAAAGGAAUUAUAACAAAGAAAUAACACAUAAAAAUAGUUUUUAUUUUUUAGUGUGUAUCAAUCGAGUUUCUGACCUAUCAGCUUUUGAUGUUAGGAUAUAGACCUAACAUGGCAUUGACGGGUAACGGGGAAUUAGAGUUCGAUUCCGGAGAGGGAGCCUGAGAAACGGCUACCACAUCUAAGGAAGGCAGCAGGCGCGUAAAUUACCCAAUUCUAAAGAAGAGAGGUAGUGACAAGAAAUAAUAGGACAAGACUAAUUUUUAGUUUUGUAUCUGUGCUGAUAGAAAUUUAAAACUUUUCUAAAAUCCCAUUGGAGGGCAAGUCUGGUGCCAGCAGCCGCGGUAAUUCCAGCUCCAAUAGCGUAUAUUAAAAUUGUUGCAGUUAAAACGCUCGUAGUUGAAUUUCAAGAAGUGAUCACUUAGAGUUGUAGUUUCAUUAUUUAGAUGCAUUUUCGGUGUUAUUUUAUAACUAGAAAAAGAUGUCUAAUUUUGUAAUUUACACUUUAUUAAAAACAACUUCUUUUAAAAUUUUUGACUUAUUAUAAGUGAAAAAUUUUGUUACUUUGAGUAAAUUAGAGUGUUCAAAGCAAACAUAUAAAGCAUUUUUAAUGUGUUUGAAUACUAAAGCAUGGAAUAACAAUAUUGAGCUGACCAAAACAUUUAUUUUUUUUUAUUUUUGGUUUAGUUACGAUUAAUAGGAGUAGUUUGGGGGCAUUUGUAUUCAGAUGUUAGAGGUGAAAUUCUUAGAUUUUCUGGAGACAAACUACUGCGAAAGCAUUUGCCUACUAUACUUCCAUUAAUCAAGAACGAAAGUUAAGGGAGUGAAGACGAUCAGAUACCGUCGUAAUCUUAA
rnacentral:rRNA from 1 species